GUAAAAUACUCUUAAAAAAAAAUUGCUUUAAAUCUCAGGUCUCGUGGGCUCAUUGAGUGUCUGCCGCUUCAGUCACAUUUGCAACUGCCGGCGGAAUCGGUAUCUACUCCCGGUUGGCGCGCACAUUGUCGUGGUUUUUUCUCUCUGCUCAUCAUUUGCGUGCUCGACAUACGUAUACGUACGUAAUACAUACUUCGCACCAGUAAUUGCUCUGCUCACCCCCUACAAAUCGAAAGUGUCUCGUGUUUUUGUUCAUUUGCAGUCGAAUCGCGUUAAAAUUUUGCAAAAAACAGACCCAAACGCCUAAAAUAAAAUGAGUUUGCAAUCUAUUAAAUACAGUCCGGGAAAAUUGGAUAUUUUGGACCAGUUGUUGCUGCCAGUACAAUCUAAGUACGUGGCCGUCAAAGGUGUCGAAGAUGGAUGGAAAGCCAUUAAUAAAAUGCAGGUAAGCAGAAAUUUGUUUUUACAAGCAUUAGAACAAAUAU